rnacentral:rRNA from 1 species
UACGGAGGGUCCAAGCGUUAUCCGGAAUCAUUGGGUUUAAAGGGUCCGUAGGCGGUUUUGUAAGUCAGUGGUGAAAGCCCAUCGCUCAACGGUGGAACGGCCAUUGAUACUGCAGGACUUGAAUUAUUGGGAAGUAACUAGAAUAUGUAGUGUAGCGGUGAAAUGCUUAGAGAUUACAUGGAAUACCAAUUGCGAAGGCAGGUUACUGCCAAUAUAUUGACGCUGAUGGACGAAAGCGUGGGGAGCGAACAGG